rnacentral:rRNA from 1 species
CAUAGCUUAAUGAAUAUAUUAAGUAAUUUCUGCCCAGUGAUUUAAACGGCCGCAGUACCUUGACUGUGCUAAGGUAGCAUAAUAAUUUGGCUUUUAAUUUAGGUCGAGUAUGAAAGGAAAACGGGGAGGUUGUCUCAGUAGAUUUUAUAAAUUUACUUAAGGGGUGAAAAUUCCCCUAGAUAUGUUAGACGAGAAGACCCUUAGAAUUUUAAUUAUUUUUGUUGGGGCGACAGAGUAACAAAAAACUUACUAUUUUUAAAUACAAGCCGAGAGUGGAUAAAUUACCUGAGGGAUAACAGCAUAAUUUAAAGAUUGUGACCUCGAUGUUGGAUUAGGGGCUUCUGGUUAAUAAUUAGAAUU